rnacentral:tRNA from 1 species
GCCGCAGUAGCUCAGUGGGAGAGCACUCCGCUGAAGAUUCCCACGGAAUUUACUCCUAUCAGAUACGGAGGGGUCGCUUGUUCAAAUCAGGCCUGCGGCA